AUUGAACGCUGGCGGCAGGCCUAACACAUGCAAGUCGAACGGUAGCACAGAGAGCUUGCUCUCGGGUGACGAGUGGCGGACGGGUGAGUAAUGUCUGGGAAACUGCCCGAUGGAGGGGGAUAACUACUGGAAACGGUAGCUAAUACCGCAUAACGUCUUCGGACCAAAGUGGGGGACCUUCGGGCCUCACACCAUCGGAUGUGCCCAGAUGGGAUUAGCUAGUAGGUGGGGUAAUGGCUCACCUAGGCGACGAUCCCUAGCUGGUCUGAGAGGAUGACCAGCCACACUGGAACUGAGACACGGUCCAGACUCCUACGGGAGGCAGCAGUGGGGAAUAUUGCACAAUGGGCGCAAGCCUGAUGCAGCCAUGCCGCGUGUAUGAAGAAGGCCUUCGGGUUGUAAAGUACUUUCAGCGGGGAGGAAGGCGAUGAGGUUAAUAACCGCGUCGAUUGACGUUACCCGCAGAAGAAGCACCGGCUAACUCCGUGCCAGCAGCCGCGGUAAUAC
rnacentral:rRNA from 1 species